UCUCCGUAGGUGAACCUGCGGAGGGAUCAUUACUGAGUGAGGGCCUUCGGGCUCGACCUCCAACCCUUUGUGAACACAACUUGUUGCUUCGGGGGCGACCCUGCCGCUUCGGCGGUGCGGCGCCCCCGAAGGUCUCCAAACACUGCAUCUUUGCGUCGGAGUUUAACACAAAUGAAACAAAACUUUCAACAACGGAUCUCUUGGUUCUGGCAUCGAUGAAGAACGCAGC
rnacentral:misc_RNA from 1 species